rnacentral:rRNA from 1 species
CCUAACACAUGCAAGUCGAGGGGCAGCGGGGAUAAGCUUGCUUAUCCGCCGGCGACCGGCGCACGGGUGCGCAACGCGUAUAGAAUCUGCCUUGUACUGGGGAAUAGCCCAAAGAAAUUUGGAUUAACGCCCCAUGGUAUGUAAUUGUGGCAUCACUAUUACAUUAAAGGCUACGGUACAAGAUGACUAUGCGUCCCAUUAGUUAGUUGGUAAGGUAACGGCUUACCAAGGCAGCGAUGGGUAGGGGCCCUGAGAGGGGGAUCCCCCACACUGGUACUGAGACACGGACCAGACUCCUACGGGAGGCAGCAGUGAGGAAUAUUGGACAAUGGGCGGGAGCCUGAUCCAGCCAUGCCGCGUGCAGGAAGACGGUCCUAUGGAUUGUAAACUGCUUUUGUACGGGAAGAAUAAGGACUACGUGUAGUCUGUUGACGGUACCGUAAGAAUAAGGAUCGGCUAACUCCGUGCCAGCAGCCGCGGUAAUACGGAGGAUCCGAGCGUUAUCCGGAAUCAUUGGGUUUAAAGGGUCCGUAGGCGGGCCAUUAAGU